rnacentral:misc_RNA from 1 species
UAACCACUCAAGCCUACGCUUGGCAUUGGGGUUCGCGAUCAGCGGCUCUUAAAAUCAGUGGCGGUGCCUGUAAGCUCUACGCGUAGUAAUUCUCUCGCGACGGAACCUUACGAGUUGCUUGCCAAAACUCAAAUAUUUUAUCAGG